rnacentral:lncRNA from 1 species
UCCACGCACCCGACCCGUUUAAUACAAGCACAAGGCGCCCGUGCCCACUGCCCUGCCCGCGGGGCCGGGGGAGGCAACGCUCUGCGAAGGGAAACGCACUCCUGGAGGGCUUCGACUGCGGCAGCAGGUGCCUGUGCUGGCAGCCAAAGCGGGAAGAGGGGGCUGAGCUGAGCAGAGGGUAGGGAUGCAGCGUCACACCCAACGCCGACCAAAGGUCCUGUGCACGGGGUAUGGGGAGGGGGCUCGGCCCCUCGCCUGCCUUUCUGAUGGGGUUUGCAAGCUCAGCGCCAUUGCUGGGCACUGCAUCUCCCGCCUGCACCGUCCCCUACCACCAGCCACGCCCAGCCCCCACUUGCCUUGCGCUUCAGGUGCCCACAGCUCCGUAUGUCCACCUGCUGCCGGCUGGGGGCACGGGUGGGCAGCACCCUCUGCCCUGCAUGCACAAGCAGCGUCCACAGUUCAGACCGAAGAAUGCAGCCAGGCUGGGGCAUGCAAGACAAGGCGACUGGGGAUGCCAAGAGACAGAAGAGCACCUCCAGCCUGGGGGACCUCGACUCUCCCCAGCUCCUCGCCCACACCCCAGCCUCGGUGCUGAGGCACCCGGCUGCACUCAGGCCAGGGGCUCUGGGAAGCCCUCAGCCCGGGGCUGGGGCAGGCAGCGUCCCUCCUUUCUGGAGCCAGACCAGAGAGCGGCAGCGUGCGCAGGGACCGAGGGGAACGGGACCAACCUCUGCGUAUAAAUAUGCCGCUGGGGAGGGCAGGGUGGGGCGGGCUCAUUGUUAGCACCAUGGUGGUGGGGAGGGGGGGAGGGGAGGAAGGCGGGGGUCAGACCCACUCCUGCAAGGAGCGCUUGCAGUACAAGAGCAUUCGGGGUGUGCCCUUCCUCUGCAUCUGCACGAUGACAUAGAUGAGGCCGAGGAUGCAGAGCAGCAGCACCAGCAGCACCAGCACCAUCACCACACUCAUGGUGCGCGUGUACUCAUCGAUCUGCACCACCACGUCCACAUCGCCGCCCUUCUCGCGGCCGCCUUCACCAUAAUCCUCCUCAUCUUCCUCCUCCUCCUCCUCCUCGUCGCCAUCAUCCCGUGGUGCUCCGUCACCUCCGUCGGGGUUGAAGGGCGGUCGGUCCACGUCGGGCCAGCGUGGCGGGCUGGGCUCCGGGACCAGCUCCACACUGCAGCCCAUGAAGUCCCGCAGAAUGGAUUUGGGAUAGCCCGGCUCCGUCCUGAGCCGCUCGUUGUCAAACUUCCAGUACUUUGUGCCUCUGUAGAAGUAAGUGGAGGAGGCAUCUGAGCUGAGGAAGGCACCCUUGGGCGAGGGGGGGAUGCCCACCCAGAC